AUUGAACGCUGGCGGAAUGCUUUACACAUGCAAGUCGAGCGGCAGCACGGGGGCAACCCUGGUGGCGAGCGGCGAACGGGUGAGUAAUACAUCGGAACAUGCCCAGUCGUGGGGGAUAACACUUCGAAAGAAGUGCUAAUACCGCAUACGUCCUGAGGGGGAAAGCGGGGGAUCGCAAGACCUCGCGCGAUUGGAGUGUCCGAUGUCAGAUUAGCUAGUUGGUGGGGUAAAGGCCUACCAAGGCAACGAUCUGUAGCUGGUCUGAGAGGAUGAUCAGCCACACUGGGACUGAGACACGGCCCAGACUCCUACGGGAGGCAGCAGUGGGGAAUUUUGGACAAUGGGGGCAACCCUGAUCCAGCCAUGCCGAGUGAGUGAAGAAGGCCUUCGGGUUGUAAAGCUCUUUCGGCAGGAACGAAACGGUGAGCUCUAACAUAGCUUGCUAAUGACGGUACCUGAAGAAGAAGCACCGGCUAACUACGUG
rnacentral:rRNA from 1 species